CGGCAUGCUCCCACAUGUUUAGUCGAACGGCAGCACGGGUCGCUUGCACCUUAGUGGCGAGUGGCGAACGGGUAGUAAUACAUCGGAACGUACCUUAUCGUGGGGGAUAACGCAGCGAAAGUUGCGCUAAUACCGCAUACGCCCUGAGGGGGAAAGCGGGGGACCGUAAGGCCUCGCGCGAUUAGAGCGGCCGAUGUCUGAUUAGCUUGUUGGUGAGGUAAAAGCUCACCAAGUGCGAUGAUCAGUAGCUGGUCUGAGAGGACGAUCAGCCACACUGGGACUGAGACACGGCCCAGACUCCUACGGGAGGCAGCAGUGGGGAAUUUUGGACAAUGGGGGCAACCCUGAUCCAGCAAUGCCGCGUGAGUGACGAAGGCCUUCGGGUUGUACAGCUCUUUUGUCAGGGAAGAAACAGCAGCUCUAACACAGUCUGCGAAUGACGGUACCUGAAGAAUAAGCACCGGCUAACUACGUGCCAGCAGCCGCGGUAAUACGUAGGGUGCGAGCGUUAAUCGGAAUUACUGGGCGUAAAGCGUGCGCAGGCGGAUAUACAAGACAGGCGUGAAAUCCCGGGCUUAACCUGGGAAUGGCGUCUGUGACUG
rnacentral:rRNA from 1 species